rnacentral:tRNA from 1 species
GCUGGUCUGGUUCGCGGAGUGCGCGGCCCUUCGCCGGCCGCCGUGGGAGCGCACGCCCGUCGACGGGAUCUUGGCCCUGUGGGUCGGCU